AAUACCAAGUGUGCUUUGUGAGCUGCACCUUUAUUCACAAAAAUACUGCUCUUCACCUCAGUUGAUGGUAGCAUCAGUGUAACUCAGGCAGAGGUUCCCGCCAACUCCACCACACCUGUCCUGCACCCACCUGAGGAGCGAAGACCACAAUCAGGUGACAUGAAAAUGCAGAUUUAAUAAUGGGCCUCUACAGUGGAAUAAAGGUGAGGACCACCUCCAAAGCCCACGAGUGGUACAUGGGCACCUCUACACCAGUGUGUUAGCACUAAGGCUCGGCCCCGAUGUGCCCUCAGGCUGCGGGGCCUUCCUCCUGUGGCAGCGAUGCCUCAUGUGAGUGUAGGAUAGGAACCAGUUGUCCAAACAGGGCCAUCCAGUCUGGUGGGGUCUGAACAUCAUGAUCUCUCACCAUGGGGCAGCUGUGAGGGACAGACCCUUGGCGUCAGGACCAGGACCUCAUUAAGUUCAGUCGCCAAAGUGUUUUGAUGUCAAACUCAACGAUAUUAAAGUGUUCUUUGUUUAACCUGCCGUGGUCACAAUAACUGUCACCUAAUGGACAUUUUUUAUGUUUUUAUUUGAAAUUGUGAAAAGAAAAUAAGUCACUGCAUCUUGAAAUCAUGGCUGUGUUGGAAGUGAUGCAUUAUGAUACCAAUAUGUAAAGCACAGUGGAA